CACCUCUAUCAGGGUCACACCUGGAGAAUUUCCAGGACUCUACCAGUCUUGACUAUGGGAGGGAGAGUCAAGCAGAGGCCUACCCAUUCCAUUCCUUGCUUGGGCAGUGGCUAGGGAGUGAAAGGCAAUCUGCUACCAGU
rfam:Ornithorhynchus anatinus chromosome 1, whole genome shotgun sequence.